CUUGGUCAUUUAGAGGAAGUAAAAGUCGUAACAAGGUUUCCGUAGGUGAACCUGCGGAAGGAUCAUUAACGAAUUAUGGAAAGUUGAUGCUGGCAUUCACUUGCAUGUGCUCACUCUCUUAAUCCAUUUCACACCUGUGCAUCUUAAUUUCGAAGUAAGGAGGCUCUCUGAGCCUCCAAGCUUUGGAAGCUUAUCAAACUCUUAAUUGUCUUAAUGAAUGUUUAUCUGCCGCAAGGCAAAAUCUAUACAACUUUUAACAACGGAUCUCUUGGCUCUCGCAUCGAUGAAGAACGCAGCGAAAUGCGAUAAGUAAUGUGAAUUGCAGAAUUCAGUGAAUCAUCGAAUCUUUGAACGCACCUUGCGCUCCCUGGUAUUCCGGGGAGCACGCCUGUUCGAGUGUCAUGAAACUAUCAAGUCAGGUCUUUUAUUGGAUCUGACUUGGAUGUGGACUCUGCCGUGUCUUUCAAUAGGUGCGGCUGGUCUUAAAAGUAUUAGCUGGCCUUUGUGAAGCUUGGUUCUACUCGGCGUGAUAAUUAUCUAACGUCGAGGACAUUCUUCGGAGUGGCCAGGUCAUCCAAURGACUGCUUCUAAUCGUCUCAGACAAUUUUCUAAAUCUGACCUCGAAUCAGUGGGACUACCCGCUGACUUAAGCAUAUCAAUAAGCGGAGGA
rnacentral:rRNA from 1 species